GGGGCACCGACCAAUGUGUUCACAAUAUUACCUUCGUGCCAUAACUGCCUUACAAGCUUCUUUUUUUUCGUUUUUUUUUUUAAUGGAAAAUACACAAGAAGGGAAAAAUGAUACUAUUCAGCCCGUGAAUUUCUCUCCUCAAACGUCUGUUUCUUACUUCAUCAUUUUAUUUUCUCUCUCUUCAUGGACUGUGGUUCUGAAGAAGUUUUUGCUUUUUUUUUCUCUCUUCUUUCCUUUAUGGAAAAUUAAAAAUAAUGGGAAGAAUGACAGUAUCCAACACGUCAAUUCUCUCUCCUCAAACGCUUACUUCUUCUUUCAUCAGUUUUACCAAAACAAACUUCCUUACUUUCUCUCUUCAUCAUCAUCGUAAUCUCCGCCAUUAUUAUCGUCGGCAUCAUCGUCGUCGUCGCCGGAGAUCGAGGCCAGUUGAUUGACGAUGUUUAUUUCAUUGAUGAAACCAUCAAUAGUGUUGACAUUGAGAUAUUACGUGAUUGCUAUGAAGCUUUUGCGAUGUAUUGCUUUGGCAGAUACCUUGUGGCAUGUUUGGAUAUGGGACUUGAAAGUCUCCAUUAACUGUGAAGGUUGCAAACGAAAAGUAAAGAAAAUUCUUCAUAGUGUUGAAGGUAAUCUCUCUCUUCCCAUUAAAAAAAAAUUCCAAAAUUUGAUAUGGGUUUGGUAAAUUUCUUACAUUUCUCAAGUUUAUGCUUUAAAAUUUUGAAUUUUUUAUGAUUAUGUUGGAAUAUCUUCCUCAUUGAGAUAUGACCAUCUUCUUUUUUAUUUGUUUUCGAUCUUUAUAGAUAAAGAAUGUUCUUUCUUCUGUUUUCAACUCUAUGUUGCCUAAUUUUUUUCUUUUGAUAUGCACGAUCAUGUAAUAUUAAUUUUUAACUUUGAGAAGACGAAGUUCAUGAAGGAAAAACACCUCGUCUUUUCCGGUUAUUUACUUCUUCCUCAUUGAGAUAUGAGCAUUUGCACAUCAUUGAGAAAAGAAAAGAAUGGUCAUGCAUUUAAAGAAACUUUAGAGAAUGGUGAUGGCAGUUCUUAAGAACUAAGAAGAUGAAGAAAAGUUAAUGAAACUAUUAGCAACCUUGUUUUUUUAAAAAAAAAUUUAUUCUUAUUAGCUUUGUUUUCAGUAAGUAGAAGAAUAAAAAUUUUAUUCUUUAUUUAGUUGUUAUAAUUUGCAAGAAAUUGUUAUAAGAGAAACGUAUAGGAUAUCUAUGCAUAAUUUAAGUCUAUGCUAGAAAAACCUAUAUUAUACUUCCAUAAUUAAUCAUGAUGAAGUUGUGUUAGUCAACUAAAAUUAUGUAUUUUUUUAUAUAUGAUAGCCUACAACAACUACUUCCAUGGUACUUUGAUUCCCAAUUUGCAUGUGUGAAAUGUUGUAUGUUCUACAAAAUUUUAUUGUAUAGUAUAACAAAAUUUUAUUCAUGGAAGUGGAC